CAAAGGUAAAAGGCUAAAAGAAACAGAGUAAGCUUGUUUAGUCCUUUUAGGAUACUAUAACAAAACACCGUGGACUAGGUAUCUUAUAAACAACAGACAUUUAUUGCUCACAGUUCUGGAGGCUGGAAUUCCAAGAUCAAGUCGGGGCAGAUUCAGUGUCUGGUGAGAACCCACUUCCUGGUUCACAGAUGGAGCCUUCUCACUGAGUCCUCACGUGGUAGAAGGGGCAAGGAAGCUCUCUGGGUCCUCUUUUAUGAGGGCACUCGUCCCAUUCAUGAGACUCCACCCUCAUGACCUCCCAAAGGCCCCACCCCUACUAUAUUCUCACAGGUUCCAAAAUCCACUCUUUAGAACAUUUAACUUCAACAAAAUAACCAUGGCUUCCAGUGCGGAAGAGGAAGAUAAGAAAACAGGAAAUCUCAUCCAACUUCUAUGUCACCUUCUCUUUUGACUUCAGACGUGUGUUUCAUCCAGUGUCCACAGUAUAGUCAAUCCUUGAGCAAUGUGGAGAUUCGGGGCAUUGAUCCCUUCACUGUAAAAAUCUGCAUGUAACUUUUGACUCCCCCUAAACUGAACUACUAAUAUAUUCAAUGUAAAGUGACAUUUUACAUUAUUUGCCUUGAAAUAAAAUUAUUU
rnacentral:lncRNA from 1 species